rnacentral:lncRNA from 1 species
CGCUCCUAUGUGUGUGUGAGAGUGUAGAUGAUACAUGUGGAGUUUAUGAAUGAAGCAUGAUUAAUUGGUAGGACAGACGUGAAAAAUAUGGCGGAUUGCAAAAUAUCAAUAAGCAUAACCCAUUCAAUUCAGAUUUAAUGAAAAACACAAAACCGACGCAUUAAAAGAAACAUAUAAUCCUUAAGUUUCUCGCUGACUUCGAUCAAAGUAAUCGUCGCUUGACUUGGCACACAUUUCCCGCAAAAUCUGUGGUCCAUUGGUCGAUGAACGCUGAUGGGUCAUCAUCAAUCUUCUUCAUCUCCUCUACAGCAGUCAUAUAACCUCCACCCCUACCAUUUGGUUGAAUUUGACGGAUCGUCGACUAGUUUUACAGCCAGGGCAACCCUUUCAGGACGACUAGUCUGCAGGGUAAUCUAGUAUUUAGGUACCAAAAUCACCGACAUAGUUCAACAUUUUCAUACAAUUUAAAAUUAGGAUUGUACCGGUACAAAAUAGGCAGAUGUUUCUCCAAAUUUCAUCAACUGGCAAACCACCAACCCACUAUCAUAACUGCAAACAUCGGACGUAGUUCAUAAGCACGUCCAACUUUGAAGCUAAAUUAUUUAUAAA